AGUGUCUGGACCUGCUGGUGUGUCUCCGCCAUGUGUUUUCUGAUGUUGGAUGAUAAACAUGCAAAUGUUCGCCAGCGCUCCUCGCUGCUGGCUUGCUGCUUUGUGUCACACUGUCUGCUCAUGACAGUUCAUGCUUCCUCUCCCUCGCUUUUUCUUCUCUUUUCGUGGCACACUGUCUUUCUAAACUCCUCCUUCUCUCUCUUCCUCCUCUCACUACAGCAUGUCCCCUCCCUUCCUCCUUCAAUGUCCUCCCCACACCACAACCCUCCGCCGCCCGACUCUGCCCUCCCUUUUCUCUGCUUCCCUCUUGGCAGCGGUGCCAAAGUGGGCAGGCAGACGGAGGCAAACGCAUCACAGGGCAGAGCAGAGGGCAAAUCAAAGGCUGGCGAAUUGAUCAUGUGUGUGUUUGUGUUUUGGACUGUCCUCUCUCUCUCUCUCUUUCUCUGCGUGUCUGUGCGCAAGUUCUCCUGUGGUCAUACGCACUGCAAGUAAGGGCUGUGUGAGAGCUGACGUCCCUCUGUUACUCUUUGUAUGGACGGACGUACUCACGCCAGUAGGAGGGGAUUGUGGGAAAGGGGGUGUAGCUCUCAGAGGGUGCGCUCUACUCCUCUUGCUUCCCUUCUUCCCGCCAUCACGGCCCUCUUUUCAGCCAGUCGUCCUGCCCAGCCGGCCCGUCCGCCCGCCUGCCUCACCACACACAGGCCUCAGGAAGAUGACCUUUGUGGAAGUUUGGCGUGGAUGCAGCAUGGAUUGUGUCCUUGGGGCUGAGGUAGUAGAUUGAAUAGUUGUGGGGUUCUUUAGCCUCUUUUUCAGAUAACUAUACAAUCUACUGUCUUUCCCAAGGAGACAGCUGAGUCAACCGAUCGUCAACUGUCGUCUAAAGAUCGGCAUUUAUGAUGCCCCAAAAAUGCAUGCAGUAAUUAAUUUAGCAUGUUUAUUUUUGUAUUUCCCCCCCCGAUAA